rnacentral:rRNA from 1 species
AUUGAACGCUGGCGGCAGGCCUAACACAUGCAAGUCGAACGAGUGGCGGACGGGUGAGUAAUGUCUGGGAAACUGCCUGAUGGAGGGGGAUAGCUACUGGAAACGGUGGCUAAUACCGCAUACCAUCAGAUGCGCCCAGAUGGGAUGAGCUAGUGGGUGGGGUAACGGCUCACCAAGGCGACGAUCCCUAGCUGGUCUGCGAGGAUGACCAGCCACACUGGAACUGAGACACGGUCCAGACUCCUACGGGAGGCAGCAGUGGGGAAUAUUGCACAAUGGUCGCAAGCCUGAUGCAGCCAUGCCGCGUGUAUGAAGAAGGCCUUCGGGUUGUAAAGUACUUUCAGCGGGGAGGCGUUACCCGCAGAAGAAGCACCGGCUAACUCCGUGCCAGCAGCCGCGUAAUUC